GACGAACGCUGGCGGCGUGCCUAACACAUGCAAGUCGAGCGGAGUCGAUUGACGGAAGCCUUCGGGCGGAAGAUGGUUGACUUAGCGGCGGAUGGGUGAGUAACGCGUGGGCAACCUGCCUCGAAGACCGGGAUAACAGCCCGAAAGGGCUGCUAAUACCGGAUGUGGUCAAGGAUCCGCAUGGAUUUUUGAUUAAAGGGGAAACCCGUUUCGAGAUGGGCCCGCGUCCUAUCAGCUAGUUGGUGAGGUAAAAGCUCACCAAGGCGACGACGGGUAGCCGGCCUGAGAGGGUGACCGGCCACACUGGAACUGAGACACGGUCCAGACUCCUACGGGGGCAGCAGUGGGGAAUCUUCCACAAUGGGCGAAAGCCUGAUGGAGCGACGCCGCGUGAGCGAAGAAGGCCUUCGGGUUGUAAAGCGUCUGUCUGGAGGGACGAAGGGAAGUGACGGUACCUCCGGAGGAAGCCACGGCGUAACUACGUG
rnacentral:rRNA from 1 species